rfam:Myotis lucifugus cont2.61131, whole genome shotgun sequence.
GGUGGUUCUUGGGUGACACACCCCGGAAUUGGGUCCCCCUCCUCUCUGGUUCCGGGUGCAUCACCCGAGAACCGCA